GAAUCCGCYAAGGAGUGUGUAACAACUCACCUGCCGAAUGAAUUAGCCCUGAAAAUGGAUGGCGCUUAAGCGGGCAGCCGACACCGCGCCGUUCGGCCGAGACGAUGGCCGGAUGAGUAGGAGGGCGUGGCGGUCAGUGACGCAGGCGAGGGUGCAGACCCCGCUGAAACGGCCGCUAGUGCAGAUCUUGGUGGUAGUAGCAAGUAUUCAAGCGAGAUCCUUGAAGGGCGAAGCGGGGAAGGGUUCCACGCAAACAUUGAUUGGGCGUGGGUGAGUCGUUCCUAAGCCGAGUGGCAAUUGCUAAGUAGCGGCGAAAGGGAAGCGGGUUAAAAUUCCCGCACACGGAUAUGGAGGCGGCGACGCAAGCAGAGGCGCAUACGCUGGCGAAGGCGCUGGGCAGAGUUUUCUUUUCUGUUUGACCGGCAUCGCGCUGUGUGGAAUCCGCUUAUCGGGAGAAACACGCGCGGGGAGGGGCAGAGCGUCAGGUUUUUUCUGGCGUCCGGCUCGCCUUCGACGGCCCUUGAAAAUGCGCCCGCGAACUAAUUUCAUGCUGUGACGUACCGAUAACCGCAUCAGGUCCCCAAGGUGAACAGCCUCUGCUCAAUAUGAACAAUGCAGGUAAGGGAAGUCGGCA
rnacentral:rRNA from 1 species